ensembl:lncRNA novel transcript, antisense to NOL4
UAACAGAGGAAGGCGAGUCACUCACCGUGGUCUUGACAGGCACGUAGAGCACUUGCUUGGCGCCGCCGCCUCCCCCGCGGACCUCGUCCGGCUGGCCCAGCUGGAAGCCCUUCGAUUUGACCCAGAAUUUAAAUUUGGCGUUGUCCGUGGAGCUCGACUCGGAGCCAUUGAGGAGCUGGACGAUCCGUUCGUAUUUUUUACGGGUCACCGUCUUGGUCUUGCCUGAGUCCCCAGCUGGAAAUAGGGGAGUUCCCAUCCUCCUCGCGCGGCGGCUGCGGCCGCUCCUCUUUAUUCUACUCUCACCCGAGGCCCGCGCCCGUCCCGGGGAGCGGCUCUGCCAGGAAAACGGCCCGACCAGUGCCCGGCGCCUGGGCUGCGUCCGAGCCCACCUUCUUCCCUCGUCGUCGUCUCCCAGACUAAAUCCCGGAAAGGGAAAGCGGGAUGUUUGCGCCCACCGCGCUGUAGCUGGUCCUGACACUUGCAAAAUGGUCAGUGGCUCCUGCUCGG